UCUGACUGCAUAAACACCCACAUUUGAAUAGUUUCCCUUUUACCUCGAAAUUGCAUAUUAAAGAACUAUUGGCCUUUGGGAUCACCUCUCUUCCUUCUAUGAUCGCUCUAGCUUUCUGCGUCUUUUUCCAACUUUUCUCAAUUUCACGAUCUCAUUAAACUCUUCCUCACUUUACUAUUUAUUUACCCUAGUUAUCCCAAUUUUCCUUUCACCCUCAAUUGUCUUCACACCCCUCACUCUUACUAUUU
rnacentral:lncRNA from 1 species